UGGGGAAUAUUGCACAAUGGGCGCAAGCCUGAUGCAGCCAUGCCGCGUGUGUGAAGAAGGCCUUCGGGUUGUAAAGCACUUUCAGCGAGGAGGAAGGUGGUGAACUUAAUACGUUCAUCAAUUGACGUUACUCGCAGAAGAAGCACCGGCUAACUCCGUGCCAGCAGCCGCGGUAAUACGGAGGGUGCAAGCGUUAAUCGGAAUUACUGGGCGUAAAGCGCACGCAGGCGGUUUGUUAAGUCAGAUGUGAAAUCCCCGGGCUCAACCUGGGAACUGCAUUUGAAACUGGCAAGCUAGAGUCUCGUAGAGGGGGGUAGAAUUCCAGGUGUAGCGGUGAAAUGCGUAGAGAUCUGGAGGAAUACCGGUGGCGAAGGCGGCCCCCUGGACGAAGACUGACGCUCAGGUGCGAAAGCGUGGGGAGCAAACAGGAUUAGAUACCCCUGGUAGUCCCACGCUGUAAAACGAUGUCGAUUUUGGAGGUUGUGCCCUUGAGGCGUGGCUUCCGGAGCUAACGCGUUAAAUCGACCGCCUGGGGAGUACGGCCGCAAGGUUAAAACUCAAAUGAAUUG
rnacentral:rRNA from 1 species